rnacentral:rRNA from 1 species
GACGAACGCUGGCGGCGUGCUUAACACAUGCAAGUCGAACGAAGAGCGAUGGAAGCUUGCUUCUAUCAAUCUUAGUGGCGAACGGGUGAGUAACGCGUAAUCAACCUGCCCUUCAGAGGGGGUCAACAGUUGGAAACGACUGCUAAUACCGCAUACGAUCUAACCUCGGCAUCGAGGAUAGAUGAAAGGUGGCCUCUACAUGUAAGCUAUCACUGAAGGAGGGGAUUGCGUCUGAUUAGCUAGUUGGAGGGGUAACGGCCCACCAAGGCGAUGAUCAGUAGCCGGUCUGAGAGGAUGAACGGCCACAUUGGGACUGAGACACGGCCCAGACUCCUACGGGAGGCAGCAGUGGGGAAUCUUCCGCAAUGGACGAAAGUCUGACGGAGCAACGCCGCGUGAGUGAUGACGGCCUUCGGGUUGUAAAGCUCUGUUAAUCGGGACGAAAGGCCUUCUUGCGAAUAGUUAGAAGGAUUGACGGUACCGGAAUAGAAAGCCACGGCUAACUACGUG